rnacentral:rRNA from 1 species
GACGAACGCUGGCGGCGUGCUUCAUACAUGCAAGUCGAACGAGAAUCUAGCUUCGGUUAGAGGAAAGUGGCGGACGGGUGAGUAAAAUGUAGAGAAUCUGCCCUAGAGAGGGGGACAACAGAGGGAAACUUCUGCUAAUACCCCAUAUGCGCGUAGCUGAGAUGCUAUUCGUGAAAACUCCGGUGCUCUAGGAUGAGUCUGCAUCUGAUUAGCUAGUUGGGGGUGUAAUGGACCACCAAGGCGACGAUCAGUAGCUGGUUUGAGAGGAUGAUCAGCCACAAUGGGACUGAGACACGGCCCAUACUCCUACGGGAGGCAGCAGUAGGGAAUUUUGCGCAAUGGGCGAAAGCCUGACGCAGCAACGCCGCGUGAUUGAAGAAGCCCUUCGGGGUGUAAAGAUCUGUCAGUGGGGACGAAACUUGACGGUACCCACAGAGGAAGCAUCGGCUAACUCCGUG